rnacentral:snRNA from 1 species
CUAAAACUGGAACAAUGCAAAAGAUUAGCAUGGCUCCAGUACAAGGAUAAUAUCUAAAUUCAUAAAGUGUUCCAUAUUUGA